UACGUAGGGCGCAAGCGUUGUCCGGAAUUAUUGGGCGUAAAGAGCUCGUAGGCGGUCUGUUACGUCUGCUGUGAAAACCCGGGGCUUAACCCCGAGCGGUCGUGGGAAACUGGUUGGCUAGAGUGCGGGAGAGGAGAGUGGAAUUCCUGGUGUAGCGGUGAAAUGCGCAGAUAUCAGGAGGAACACCGGUGGCGAAGGCGGAUCUCUGGGCCAUUACUGACGCUGAGGAGCGAAAGCGUGGGGAGCGAACAGG
rnacentral:rRNA from 1 species